rnacentral:lncRNA from 12 species
AGCUCCGCGCUGCUGGGCCGUUUAUCUCUGCCACCACAACAGCCCGGCCGCAAACAGGCGAGCCGUUCUCUGCCCGGCUCCUGGGCUCCCGCCGGGAGGGCACAAUUAAGACAGACCCUUGCCUUCUUGGCUGCCAAAGCAUCUCAGCUUCUGAAGAGCAUGGGAAGCAACGCCAUCAACCCCCCUGAGGAAAUAAAUAAAUAAAUAAAUAAAUAAAUAAAUAA